CUUUGUGUUUUAGUUUAAGUAUCUUUUGUUUUCCUCUAUCAAUGUCACCAUUACUCUGACGACCUUCUUCAGGUUAGACGAAUGGCAAGCAGUUCCUAAAGAAAGGAUGAGCCAUGGCACAGAGCUGCCACUGACUUUCAUGUUCCUCAGUGCAUGUGUGUUGGUCAUUGUGGCCAGAAGUCCACUGGAAUAUCUUAUCAAAGGCAAACUAGCGCCUGGAGAGAUGCUGGAGGACUUCUUGAAUACACAUCAUAUUAAACAGUUAUUGACAAAAAAACCCUCUGAAAAAAAAAUGUGAGCUGUAUUACAGAUGACAACUAUAGUUGCCGGAGAAGGAGAACCUUAAUUCAUCCCACUCCUACCAGUCUAAUGCCAGUGCCAUCAGUAGAUGCCCAGAGCCUGAAGGAGGAUCACAGGUCAGCAGGAGAGCACCUGAAGAGCAGCACAAAGGAAUUCCAGCCACUCCAGCCAGUAAGUCAGCUUCAUCAGGGGCCCAGCUUAAAUGCCUCUGUGCAAACGUGCAUAGCACGGAGAACAAACAAGAGGAGUUAGAGAGGUGCACACACCUGCAGGGCUAUGAUCUUAUUGGCACCACAGAGACACGGUGGGAUGGCUCCCAUGACUGGAGUGUUGGAAUGGAAGGAUACAGGCUCUUUAGGAAAGAUGGGCAGGGAAGAU